rnacentral:tRNA from 1 species
GUGGAGGUAGUUUAGUUGGUAAAACGUUUUAUUUAACUAAAAUCUUUCUGAUUUAAGUUAUAAGUUAAUUUACAAAAAGUCGUGGGUUCAACUCUCACCUUCCACA